AACGAACGCUGGCGGCAUGCCUAACACAUGCAAGUCGAACGAAGCCUUCGGGCUUAGUGGCGCACGGGUGCGUAACGCGUGGGAAUCUGCCCCUUGCUUCGGAAUAACAGUUAGAAAUGACUGCUAAUACCGGAUGAUGUCUUCGGACCAAAGAUUUAUCGGCGAGGGAUGAGCCCGCGUAGGAUUAGGUAGUUGGUGGGGUAAAGGCCUACCAAGCCGACGAUCCUUAGCUGGUCUGAGAGGAUGAUCAGCCACACUGGGACUGAGACACGGCCCAGACUCCUACGGGAGGCAGCAGUGGGGAAUAUUGGACAAUGGGGGAAACCCUGAUCCAGCAAUGCCGCGUGAGUGAUGAAGGCCUUAGGGUUGUAAAGCUCUUUUACCAGGGAUGAUAAUGACAGUACCUGGAGAAUAAGCUCCGGCUAACUCCGUGCCAGCAGCCGCGGUAAAAC
rnacentral:rRNA from 1 species